GGGAUUGCCUCAGUAACGGCGAGUGAAGCGGCAACAGCUCAAAUUUGAAAUCUGGCCCUUUCGGGGUCCGAGUUGUAAUUUGUAGAGAGUGUUUCGGGUGAGAUCACGGUCUAAGUCCAUUGGAACAUGGCGUCAUAGAGGGUGAGAAUCCCGUAUGUGACUGUGGAUCGAGCCCAUGUGAAGCCUCUUCGACGAGUCGAGUUGUUUGGGAAUGCAGCUCAAAAUGGGUGGUAAAUUUCAUCUAAAGCUAAAUACUGGCUGGAGACCGAUAGCGCACAAGUAGAGUGAUCGAAAGAUGAAAAGCACUUUGGAAAGAGAGUCAAACAGUACGUGAAAUUGUUGAAAGGGAAGCGCUUGCAACCAGACCUGUCCGUAGGUGAUCAGCCGCUGUUUUCAGUGGUGCACUCGCUCUACGAUCAGGCCAGCAUCGGUUCUGGCGGUCGGAUAAAGGCCUUGGGAAUGUAGCUUCCUCCGGGGAGUCUUAUAGCCCUCGGUGCAAUGCGGCCAGCCGGGACCGAGGACCGCGCUUCGGCUAGGAUGCUGGCGUAAUGGUUGUAAGCGACCCGUCUUGAAACACGGACCAAGGAGUCUAACAUCUAUGCGAGUGUUUGGGUGUCAAACCCAUACGCGGAAUGAAAGUGAACGGAGGUGAGAACCCUUAAGGGCGCAUCAUCGACCGAUCCAGAUGUCUUCGGAUGGAUUUGAGUAUGAGCAUAGCUGUUGGGACCCGAAAGAUGGUGAACUAUACUUGAAUAGGGUGAAGCCAGAGGAAACUCUGGUGGAGGCUCGCAGCGGUUCUGACGUGCAAAUCGAUCGUCAAAUUUGGGUAUAGGGGCGAAAGACUAAUCGAACCAUCUAGUAGCUGGUUCCUGC
rnacentral:rRNA from 1 species